rnacentral:lncRNA from 1 species
UUUCCUUCAACUUCUCGUAGGACAUCGGUUGAGUAAUACGUUGCAGUGGCAACAGCUUCUCCCAGAGCUUCUGAGGAAGCUUCUUCUCCUUUAGCAUGCUUCUCACCAUAUCAAGCAAAGUGCGUUUUCUUCUUUCACAAGACCAUUGUGUUGAGGGGUAAAGGAGCAGUAACCUCAUGCUCAAUACCAUUCUCCUCACAGAACUUUUGAACUCUUUGGAGUUAUACUCACCUCCACCGUCAGUUCUAAGAAAUCUUCAACUUCUGACCACUCUGAUUCCAGCCUUCAUUCUGAACUUUUGAAUUCAUCAAAACCUCGUGUUUAAACUUAAUAAGGAUACCAUGUCAUUCUUGUGAAUUCAUCAACAAAUAACACAAAGUAUUUAUCCUCUCCAUCGAUGCUACUGGAAUGGACCACAUACAUCAGAAUGUACAACUCCCAAGGCAUGUUUUGCUCUUGGAGCAGUUUCUGACGCAAAUGGCAAUCGUGGUUGUUUUCUUCCAUGCAACUUUGCAUGACUUUUCAGGCUUCUAAUUGCAGGAAUCCAUGUACCACACUUCUUUGAAUUCAGAUGUUUAAGCUUCUGAAAUCAAUGACCAAAUCUUCUGUGCCACAGCUCACUCUCCUUCUCAGCACUUGUUGCACUAAGACAUUUGAGUCUGCAGUUCUGACAUUCACCUUGAAUGUUCUAUUCCUCCCUGUUCUGACUCCAUAAUCAACUUCUGAUUGCAGUCUAACAGCUUCAGAAGAUUGUCCUUCAUGGUAACUGAAAAACCUUUCUCAUUAAUUGUCCCACACUCAUAGAUUGCUUCUGAUGCCAGUACAUACACACGUUUUGAAUAAAUACUGUUUUCCCAUUGUUCAGAAUCACUCGACAUUCCCAUACCUUCUGCAUUAAGAUAUUUGUCAUCAGCACAUCUGAUCUUUGUCCUCUUUUCAGAGUCAAAGUCAACCAGCCAUUUCUUGUUUCCAGUAAGAUGAUUUGAACAGCCAGUGUCCAUAUACCACCAGUCUAUCAGAUCCAUAUCAUCAGAUUCAGAGGCCAUCAUAGCACAGAUUCGUCAUCAGAACUUCUGGCUAUAUUUGCUUCUUUCUGAUUUUCCUCUCCUGUUUGACCAACAGUCUCUAGCAAAUGACCAACUUCUUACAGCAGUAACAUUGGAUUUUCUUCUUGUCAUACUUCUCUUUCCUUCUGACACAUUCUUUUGUCUAUCAGAGGUUAGCUUUCUGACUUCUGACCACCAUCAGAUCUUCUCCGGCUUCUGACUGCUUCUGAUACUCCUAUCAGAAGUUGCUUUCAAGAGCCUGCUGCUCUACUUCCCUUUCAGAAGUUCUCUCAGUUAAACGCAACUCUUGCGCUUCUAGACUGCUCUGCAGCUCUUCAAUUCUCAUGGUGCUCAGAUCUUUGGAAUGUUCUAUUGCUACCACAAUGUAAUCAAAUUGACAGGUAAGGGACUCAAUACCUUCUCCAUGAUUGUUUCUUCAGAAAGAGUUUCCCACACACUUUCAUCUCAUUAGUGAUCAGAAUCAUCCUGGAGAGUGUAUCAGAAACUUUCUCAUUAUUCUUCAUGUUGAGAUUCUCAUAUGCUUCUCAGGACUGAAGCUUCACCUUCUUCACUGAUGCGUCACCACCAUAACAUCUAACCGUGUGUCCUACGCAGCCUUUGCUGUCGUUGAAUCUGCAAUCUUCUCAAACACAUUUAAUCAACACAUGAUGAAUGAAGAACAAUGCUUUCUGAUCCUUCUUCUACUUCCUUCUGCGUGUUUUUCUGUUCAUCCGUCGCAUCUGCUGCUACCGGAACAUAACAUCAGUGACAAGAUCUAGAACAUCUUGAGCACGAACAGUACACGCAUUUGGAUCAUCCAACGAUCUAGUUUUACCGUCAAAUACUGGAAGUUUGUGUGUCAUGUUGCCGUUUCCGUUCAUCUUUCUACUUGCACAAUACACUCAGAUUUCUCACACAGUGUUUCCCAACCCACAGAAUUAAAAUUCUGAUCAGAUUUUGUUCAAGAUUCACCACGAAUCUAAGAAUCAAAAUCAAACACACAAGACCUCACGUUCAGUCGUGUUUCCGGUGUUUCCCAAUGAAUCUGAACCGGAGCUCUAGAUACCAAUUGUUGGUGCAAAGGAAUGAAAGAUGAAUAUUCUAUUAAGAGAAUGACGGCUACAAAACAUGAUAAAGUUACAAUGAUUGUCACCCUAUUUAUAAGCUAAACUAGGGUUACUAGAAUAGGAUAAAAUACUAAAAUACCUCUAACAAACUUAGGGGCUAAGAAAUAAUAUAAUUAAUAAUAUGAGUUACUUCUAAUAUAUAUAUAUAUAUAUAUAUAUAUUAUAUAAUAUAAUAAUAUAUAUAAUAUAUAUAUAUAUAUAUAUAUAUAUAUUUCAAUAUCAAUAACAAGUAGUCAAUAACAAGUACACUUAUCAAAUUGUAAUCAAGUGUAUCACAUAUUUUUGUUAUAUAUUUUCUUAAUUUUUUAAAUCAAAUUAUGAGACAUUAGAAUAUCAUUUAAUUAUUAAUUUUCUUAUUUGCAAUAGAAGGUGUGUGACAUCAUAUCAUCCCAUAAUUGAUUGUCGGUGGCAAAGAGAAUAAUUCCCAUUUUACUAUCAAUACUUAACACACCAACUUUGUCUAUAAAAACCAUACCACUAACAAUAAUUUAAUCAGUGGACUGGAUUCUAGAAUUGAAGAAUAUGUGGACGGUCACGAUCGCAAAAUAUAAAUUAGUUAAUCAUUUUUAAUUAUUUUGUACUUUUUUUAGUGCGUGUCAAAGUUUAGUAGUGAUCACAAAAGACUGUGUCUCUAAAUUGGUGAUUAUAUUGGCACUAGGCUAAAACAACAAAAAGAAAGAAACAAUCAUUAAGGCUAAAAAUGGUGGAACGACAGAAACUAAAAUACAAGAACAGAGUCCUAUGUGAGAUGGUGUUUCUUUUUAGUAAAUUCAAGUGUUAUGAUUACACUAAUAACUAUUCACAAUAUUUUAAGAAAUUUAAUACCACUGACUGCAUGUUCAGAAUUAAUUUCUUACUCAAAAUCUUUUAUUAAAUUGGAAAACAUCAUUCUCAUUUCAACCAAAUGGUCUUGGAUAACAACUAUUGACAAUUUAACAACACUUUAAAUAUUUAAAAAUUAAAUACUUAUAUAAUUAUUCAACAUCCAACAUAAACUUGAGAAAACUCAUUACGACCAAUAAGAAUAACACAUUGUUACUACACGUAUUUCACUUUUUAGAGUAUUAUUGUUAUUUACUUUUGUCUCAUAUUUAUUGAAUAAUUUUUUUAUUAGUUUUAUGUAUUUAUUUUUAAAGAUGUUUUAUUUAAAAGUGACACUAAAAUAUAUAAUUUAUACAAAAAAACUGCUUGAUACUAAUCAAUCCACGAAUUUACUUUUAUUAAAAAAUACUAUAAAUACAUUUUUAUAAUUAAAGAAUUAAUUAAGACUAAUUAAAUAUAUCUACAACAUAUAUUUGUUUGUUUAAAAACUAUUACCAAUUGUUUUCGUGUUCAUUUUUGCAAUUGAAUCACUAAAAAUUGUGUUAAAAUAUAUGACUCAUACACAAAAUCCAAUAUUAAUUUCUAUAUACUCUAAAUAAAAAUAAAAAUAAAAUUAUUAUAGAAUUACAUAGAGAACAAAUGCAUGUAACUAAAAUGUAAUAUAUUUCUUUUAAAUAUUUUAAACAUUAAAAACAAUUAUAAUACACCAAUUAUAUAUAUAAGAGAAAAAAAUUAAUUUUUAUUUUAAAUUUCUAAAUAAAAUAAUUUUAACAAUUUAGUGCAAAUAUUUAAGACCCAUUUUUAUUUGUUCGAUAUAAAACAUAUUUACUAUUAUUUUUGUUGCAUGAUUUUAAUUAAGCUUAAAUAGUCUCUUCGUCGUAAGUUGACGUGUUUUGUUAGUAUCUAAAUCGUUAUUUUUAUAAAUAAUAUUUGAAUGUUAAAAUCAUUUUGGUUUUCAUCUUUACAGCGAAAAUUUAUAGAGAAAUUUGACUGAAAUCCGUAGAAAAUCUACAGAUUUUCAUACGGAUUUUGUUUUUAUUAAAACAAAAAAUAUUUAAUAUUUAUGAAUUAUUUUUAAGAAAAAAGUAAUUUAGGGGCUAAAAAUAAAAAGUUACAUAAAUUUAAUUUAAUUUUAUGUUAUGUUUUUUAAUUACUCAAAUAUAUUAUUUAUUAUAUAUUUUACUAACAUUGGACGCGAUAAUGAUAUUCAAAAGAAACCCGUGGUAUUUGUCUAGUUGUAUUGGUAUCUCAUCUAGUUGUGAUUUGACAUUGUUACUUUUAACCCUACCACUGAAGUAGUGGCCCAAUUAGACUUGUCGGGUAGACAAAAAGAAACAAAAAAGUAAACGUGAAUAUUACUCCCUCACUAUCAAUGACCCACAUCUAAAAUAUUGCUUUAAAACAAUAUUCUUUUUUCUCCAAUUGUAGUACUUACAUUAUUUCUAAUUUAAUAUCGUUUAUUAUAAAUUUAUGAUGAAUGUAAUAGAAUAAGAUGGCAUAUUUUUUUCAAAUUAAUAUUUUCUCUAUUUUAUUUAUACAUAUUUUAAAUCUAAAUGAAAUAAUCAAUUAUAUUAUUCAUCGAUUAAUGUUGAUAUGGGGUGAUCUUUCUCUUCACUCAGUCCAGAAAAGUAGCCCCUAAGUCUAAAUGAAAUAAUCAAAAUUAAGCAGGUUGGGCCUUGACUCAGUCCAGAAAAGUAGCCCCUAAGUCAUGUCUAGUGAAGACGGGCCAUGACUUAUUUUAAGGCUCUUCAAGUAAGGUUAUCCUUCCAUAGAUAAUGGUUAUAAUUAUGAUCCUCAAUGGGAGUUGGUGAGACGAUUCUGGUAAGGGUUCCUCUAAUAUUUAUGUUAAUAUUGAACUUAUUAAAUAUUAUUAAUGUUCGGUGAAAGUCUAUUGUUGCUUCUAACCCUAAACAUUGUCAGUGGUUCUUUAAGGCUCGUAUUAACUUUUGCUUCCUUUCUUUCCCCGCGUGGAUUGUAACCUCAAAAGUACGUAUUAUAUGUUGAAGCAUGCAUUAAUUACUUUUAUACUAGCCAUAAAUGUAAUUUUUUUAAUGAGAAACAAAAUCCUUUUAAAUGACAUGGUGUUCACACAUUGGUCUUUUUGCCACCCUCUUAAAUCCUUAGCUAUCCACACAAAGAGAAAAAUGUCCAUGAAAGAACCUCGCCUACCCACCCUUGCACGUUGGAUUGGCAUGUGUGAGUUUUUUUUUAAUAUCCAGAUUUUUAAAAUUUUUUUCAAAAAUACACAUUUUUUCAAAAAAA